AAUACGACUCUCGGCAACGGAUAUCUCGGCUCUCGCAUCGAUGAAGAACGUAGCGAAAUGCGAUACUUGGUGUGAAUUGCAGAAUCCCGUGAACCAUCGAGUCUUUGAACGCAAGUUGCGCCCCAAGCCGUUAGGUUGAGGGCACGUCUGCCUGGGUGUCACGC
rnacentral:rRNA from 1 species